GAUGAACGCUGGCGGCGUGCCUAAUACAUGCAAGUCGAGCGAACGGACGAGAAGCUUGCUUCUCUGAUGUUAGCGGCGGACGGGUGAGUAACACGUGGAUAACCUACCUAUAAGACUGGGAUAACUUCGGGAAACCGGAGCUAAUACCGGAUAAUAUUUUGAACCGCAUGGUUCAAAAGUGAAAGACGGUCUUGCUGUCACUUAUAGAUGGAUCCGCGCUGCAUUAGCUAGUUGGUAAGGUAACGGCUUACCAAGGCAACGAUGCAUAGCCGACCUGAGAGGGCGAUCGGACACACUGGAACUGAGACACGGUCCAGACUCCUACGGGAGGCAGCAGUAGGGAAUCUUCCGCAAUGGGCGAAAGCCUGACGGAGCAACGCCGCGUGAGUGAUGAAGGUCUUCGGAUCGUAAAACUCUGUUAUUAGGGAAGAACAUAUGUGUAAGUAACUGUGCACAUCUUGACGGUACCUAAUCAGAAAGCCACGGCUAACUACGUG
rnacentral:rRNA from 1 species